AGUGAACGCUGGCGGUAGGCCUAACACAUGCAAGUCGAACGGCAGCACAGUAAGAGCUUGCUCUUACGGGUGGCGAGUGGCGGACGGGUGAGGAAUACGUCGGAAUCUACUUUUUCGUGGGGGAUAACGUAGGGACACUUACGCUAAUACCGCAUACGACCUACGGGUGAAAGCAGGGGAUCUUCGGACCUUGCGCGAUUGAAUGAGCCGAUGUCGGAUUAGCUAGUUGGCGGGGUAAAGGCCCACCAAGGCGACGAUCCGUAGCUGGUCUGAGAGGAUGAUCAGCCACACUGGAACUGAGACACGGUCCAGACUCCUACGGGAGGCAGCAGUGGGGAAUAUUGGACAAAGGGCGCAAGCCUGAUCCAGCCAUACCGCGUGGGUGAAGAAGGCCUUCGGGUUGUAAAGCCCUUUUGUUGGGAAAGAAAAGCAGCAGGUUAAUACCCCGCUGUUCUGACGGUACCCAAAGAAUAAGCACCGGCUAACUUCGUG
rnacentral:rRNA from 1 species